CCUCCUUCUGGUAAGAUCCUAUUAUAACGCUUACCUUUGUAUUAAUAUGCGUCCAUUCGGUGAUGUGUUUCAAACCUGUAUGUAAUAUGUCAUUCCUUUCUUUUGGGUUUAAACAAAACCAUUUGUAGCUACGUAGUAAGUUAACUAAUAAUUAUAGUCCUUGGUGAGUUAAAACAUCAAGGAAAGGAAUCAACAAAACCAGUAAUUUCUCACUUCAAAAUAUUUAUUACAUACAAAAUACAGAUACUUUAUACUCAAAUCCAUUUCCUUUACUAUUAUUUGGAGCAGUUUUUUUAGUAAUAUUGACAUUAAAACAUGAAGGAUACAAUUACAUCUAAGUAGUUCGAGCUAGGUUAGCUGGAACUUCAGUCGUGCAUUAAACGUAGUCACAUGCCCAUAGUAGUGUAUUGGGUAAAGCUAGAGCUUCAGGAGGGCGCAAAAGUUGGAAGGGCAGGCUGAUUGUCUUCCAUCCCAAACCCUCAGCAACUACUGCAUCAAAAUUCUGGCUCACCCAACUUCCAUCCAGCUGGAAUUUUUGCAGGUCCAGAUCUAUCCCCUUGUAAUAUCACACCCUGAAAAGAGUGCAUAAAAAUGAUCAAAAUUCCCUUGUUGGAUCUUACAAGCUGACUAAAGCAUAGCCCCUCAGGAUCCAGGACUUCAGCAAAUCAAAUCAAACCAACCUUCUCCCCCAAACAUUUACAUAUUCACAAGCCUAUUACCAUUUUCCCAAACGCACUACAUGUAAAGAUUUUCAAAUGGUGGACACUUCCUGGGUAACAUGUUGCUCAGUAUGCUUCAUUAACAAAACAUACCUUUUACCUCACAGAACAUUUAAGAAAAUGAUUCUAACAAAUAGCAAUUUUAAAUGUAGAAAGGAAAAUUAUUGGGCUAACAGCCUUAAGAAUGUUUUGCUGUUAUUUAACUCCAGUCUCAUGGGAUUUAAAGAGAAUAAGCUGAUGACAACACAAACUUUGAGUUUUUCAGACUCCAUACCCACCUUUCAAUUUAAAAGGGAAAAGAGUAUAGUUAAAACUCAGGAUUGUAGGCAGAUGGAUAGUUAUUACAACACCAAAAAUCAAUGAAUCUUUGACAUUACUUUUCAGAUUUCAAAAAAGAAGAAUUGUUAGAAAGAAAGGAUUUCCAGCAUUGUAGUGGUAAACCUUCAUAUAUGCGAAGCUCAGAUAUUUUGUAAUGGAGUAUAGUCCCAGACCUUCAAAUCGAAAGGUCUCAUAGAGCUGGGAAUAGAAAUUCAUCUUCAUUGCAUCACACCUGUUAACAUCCACUUGUUCUAAUACAACCAUAAACACCUCAGAAGUAUGUAAUUCUCACAUUCCCAAUCAACCAUUUUAUCAAUAAGAUUCUAAUAAUAAUUCUAAAACUAGUAACAGAUAGUUCAGAUUAGACAAUUAAUCAAGAAGAUUCUAAUAGUAGUUCUAGUAAGGAGGUCCUAGCAAAUACCACACAACUAACAACAACCAUAUUAGAUUAGUUUUGUGAAAGGGCACAUUUCUGCAAUACAUUACAAGUGUUUGGUUUGAAGUACUAUCACCCCCUUGAUAGUGAUAUUAAGUUAACUAAAAAGGAAAUUAACUAUAGAUUUCAAAAUCAAAAACAACUGCUUCAGUUAAAUCCAGUAAAAUCAUUUGAAAUGUAGCUUAACCAAGGAGGUUCUCCCUGUAAAAAAGGGUCUUAGCUCCACUACACCUCAUUCUAGUGGAUUGCAUCAUCACCAGCAAUUCAAUGAGAUAUAAUUCUUUGUUAAUCAAACAUAACAUCUUGUUUAAUGUUAAUCCAUUUUGAGCUCUAAAGCAAUAACGUAAUUGCAAAAACAUAUCAAGCUAAUAAGCUAUUAGCAAAUACAAAAACAUGAAUACCAAAUAAAUGGCUUCACACAUUUCCUAUCAAAAUAACUGCUCAUUACCAAACAAAAUAACUGCCACAUACAUAAGAUGACAUCUAAAUAGGAGACUUUUAACAAAAUAGGCUCAGACUUUUAAUAGCUCUAUCAAUCAAGAAUUUUCUGAAGCAGAACUGGCAUUAAAGCUAUGUUAUCAAUCAUCACAGCCAAUACAAUAAAUUAUAGAUUCAAAAUAAUAACAAAAAGUGCAUCUUCAAAUACAUAAAAUACGAACAUAAAGAUCAAAGUAGGCUCAUAUCAAGAAAUUCAACCAUUUUAUCCUUUAUGCUUCAUUGAUUACUCUCAGAAGCGCGGAUAAUCUAUAAUCAUAGCCAACAAUUUAGACUAUACAUAAUAUUAAAAUUUAACCUAUGGAAAUGUAGCGGAUGUAUUUAGAGGGGAAACAAAUAACGAAAAGUUAAACCUCCACGUUAACACCGCAGAGGAUUGAAUAUAUGCCUCCAUGACUAGACCUUUUUUCAGUAGUUGAGAUAAGAAAAAAAGCUAAAGGUGUGGUGAGGCAAAGCAUUAUUUAUGCAAUUAAUUGUAACAAGUACAUAUUUGAAAAUUUUUGGCGGUCGAUUUGACACAGAAAAGCCGUUGAAAGUUAGGUACGAAGGCUAAACUGCAACACUUGACGGCGAUAUUUAUAGCACGAGCAUUGGGGCUUUCUUCCUCAUCCAAAAACUGUUUCAGAGAAGCCCGGGGUGCUACGUGCAGAGGCUACUCAAAGUUACAAGUACAUAAAUUGAGAUAUACACAUGAAAAUCUAUAGAGAUAAAUAUCUUACGGGAAGUAAGCUACUCUCUAGAAGCCAUCAUUCUACACCCUAAUUAUCAAUAAUGGAGGCUACUACAACUACAAAUGUAUAUAAAAAGAAAGAGAGCCUUCGUUUAUAUAGAGAUAGCUAUACUUCCGAAACCCUAAAACGAAAUUUCUUACUUUUAGGAUUUGAUAAGCUGGACGGCCCAGCCAGUCACUUGCA
rnacentral:lncRNA from 1 species